UACGUAGGGCGCAAGCGUUGUCCGGAAUUAUUGGGCGUAAAGAGCUCGUAGGUGGCUUGUCGCGUCGGGUGUGAAAUCUCGGAGCUUAACUCCGAAACUGCAUUCGAUACUGCCGUGCUUGAGGACUGGAGAGGAGACUGGAAUUUACGGUGUAGCGGUGAAAUGCGUAGAUAUCGUAAGGAAGACCAGUGGCGAAGGCGGGUCUCUGGACAGUUCCUGACGCUGAGGCACGAAGGUCAGGGGAGCAAACGGG
rnacentral:rRNA from 1 species